UUUUAAGUAUAAGUGUGUCUCAUACACUACUUGGGACAUAUUUAUACUAAAA
rnacentral:pre_miRNA from 1 species